AGUUUGAUCCUGGCUCAGAACGAACGCUGGCGGCAGGCUUAACACAUGCAAGUCGAGCGGGCCCUUCGGGGUCAGCGGCAGACGGGUGAGUAACGCGUGGGAAUCUACCCAUCCCUACGGAACAACUCCGGGAAACUGGAGCUAAUACCGUAUACGCCCUUUUGGGGAAAGAUUUAUCGGGGAUGGAUGAGCCCGCGUUGGAUUAGCUAGUUGGUGGGGUAAAGGCCUACCAAGGCGACGAUCCAUAGCUGGUCUGAGAGGAUGAUCAGCCACAUUGGGACUGAGACACGGCCCAAACUCCUACGGGAGGCAGCAGUGGGGAAUACUGGACAAUGGGCGCAAGCCUGAUCCAGCCAUGCCGCGUGAGUGAUGAAGGCCCUAGGGUUGUAAAGCUCUUUCAACGGUGAAGAUAAUGACGGUAGCCGUAGAAGAAGCCCCGGCUAACUUCGUG
rnacentral:rRNA from 1 species